AUAUGACAGUCUCCUCGAAUCAGUCUUCAAGACGGAGUUCCUAAGCCUCUUGUCGAAGCGCUACGAGGAGAAAACGCAAAGGAGGCUACCUCUGAAAUUUAGCAAUACGCUUGAAGUGAAGUUGAAGAAGGAGAACUGGGGGCCCUGGAAGGCCGGAGGAUCGCGCCAGGUGCAGUUCAGCCAAGGCCAGGGAGACGGGGCCAUUCUCAAGCCAAGUAAUAAAGUGCUGCAGGUCAGCAUUGGGCCUGGCCUCCCAAAGAACUCCCGCCCCACCAGAAGGAACGCGACCCAGAGCAGAGGCUAUUCCAACCGGACACAGGGCCAUACCUAUCCCCUGAGGGCUGCACCGCC